rnacentral:lncRNA from 1 species
GGCACGGACUUGUAACGACAGGGGACGACCCCUUCGGACAACAAAAACAAACCCUAAUAUGGGCAAAGUCGAAGGCCCGGUUACCCUUAGAUCGGAUGGGGGGAGAGGCCAAACAGCGUCCAUAUGCGCCCCCACAGCCAUGUUAGGGACAGGAGGAGAACCUCGCCCUAACAUGAGCAAAGUCGAAGGCCCGGUUACCCUUAGACCGGAUGGGGGG